UGGCGGCCGUAGCGCGGUGGUCCCACCUGACCCCAUGCCGAACUCAGAAGUGAAACGCCGUAGCGCCGAUGGUAGUGUGGGGGCUCCCCAUGCGAGAGUAGGGAACUGCCAGACA
rnacentral:rRNA from 1 species